UGGAUCACCUCCUAACAGGGAGACAACAACUGAUCGUGAUGUCUGAGUACUUUAUUCUCAGGCCAUGAUCCUGUCAUCUCGAAGGUCGAUCGGUACCUCAACUUCAAGGUUGGGAUGAAUGGGAUACUUCGGUAAGUCAUUCAUGCUCAAGUCUUGAUUUUUAGUUCCUAAACGUUGUCUAGGUCACCCCAUAGAGGGUUCACUUCCUGGGCCAUUAGCUCAGGUGGUUAGAGCGCACCCCUGAUAAGGGUGAGGUCCCUGGUUCAAGUCCAGGAUGGCCCAUGCCAAGGUCCAGUGAUGGAUCAUUUGGGGGUUUAGCUCAGUUGGUAGAGCGCCUGCUUUGCAAGCAGGAUGUCAGCGGUUCGAGUCCGCUAACCUCCACUAACAUCUGAACUCCUGAAGCAGGAAGCAAUUCUUGGGUGGUGACGUAGACGUUGUUCGCUGAUCAAGCUAGCUCGAUGAAUCGAGCAGAGUUCAGCCUCAGAUCAUUCCCCAAGCUUUGAUCGACCGAUCAAGGUUGAGAUGGUUGAUCUGAUGCUGGAUUCAGCGAAGGAGCCUCGCGAGGGGCUUUUUCAAUGAGAUUCAGCAGAACCUUGACAACUGCAUAGGUGAGUCUGGAAAGACAAAGCAUCUCAUAGAGGCGAGAUGAUGAGGUCUGAUGUUUCAUCAUUGAUGGAUGAUCAGAUUGAGUCAACUCGUGAUUCUAUUUUUGAGAGCCGAGACCUUCUAGCGUUCUUCCAACGGCGCCGAGCCGACGGGAGUCUGAUCCUUAUUUGCGGCAGAGCCGCUUGCGAUUGGGAGACCAAUCAAUAGCGAAGCUGCUUGCCAAAUUCGAGAGAAUAGGCCUCAACAGCCUGAAGCGUUAGGAGGAUACAUUUGGUCAAGCUACAAAGGGCUCACGGUGGAUACCUUGGCACACAGAGGCGAUGAAGGA
rnacentral:tRNA from 1 species